rnacentral:rRNA from 1 species
ACGAACGCUGGCGGCGUGCUUAACACAUGCAAGUCGAACGGAAAGGCCCUGCUUUUGUGGGGUGCUCGAGUGGCGAACGGGUGAGUAACACGUGAGUAACCUGCCCUUGACUUUGGGAUAACUUCAGGAAACUGGGGCUAAUACCGGAUAGGAGCUCCUGCUGCAUGGUGGGGGUUGGAAAGUUUCGGCGGUUGGGGAUGGACUCGCGGCUUAUCAGCUUGUUGGUGGGGUAGUGGCUUACCAAGGCUUUGACGGGUAGCCGGCCUGAGAGGGUGACCGGCCACAUUGGGACUGAGAUACGGCCCAGACUCCUACGGGAGGCAGCAGUGGGGAAUGUUGCACAAUGGGCUGAAGCCUGAUGCAGCAACGCCGCGUGCGGGAUGACGGCCUUCGGGUUGUAAACCGCUUUCGCCUGUGACGAAGCGUGAGUGACGGUAAUGGGUAAAGAAGCACCGGCUAACUACGUG